UUCCUGUUCUUUUACCUUAACUCUUAAGUUCAAUUGCCGAAAACAAGGAAUAGUUGACAAUGACCAUGUAAGAAAACUCCAUCAGUCUAGCGAUACAAUCUUAAGACAACAUGCUUCUAAAAACAACACAAGUUGACUUAAGCGGCAUAAUCUGGCGAACAACAUGCCAGAUCUAGAGUGAAACAAGGUACAUGCAUGGUGAUCCUGCUAGGAAUGUUGUAGCAGCAGCAUUGCCGCAGCAUUACUCUGUAUUACCUGACUCCGUUGUCUGGAGCAUUGGAGCUGUGACCACUGCCAGUGUAAGAUCAGGGGGAUUAUGAUUCACCAGACCUUUUACGAAUCUCCCUGUACUCUUGGCAAUUAGCACACAGAUGGCAGAAAAGGCUGGUAACAAAGUCACAGCAUUGCACUUCCUGCACAUAUAUAAAUGGCUUUACCCAAAGCAGUUUAUUAUCAUUUGCAGCAAGAAAGCAGUUAAAACACCGAAAUGGCUUGCUUGUCUUCUUCUCCUGAAGUAUGUGGCUCAACUGAACCACUGGUGGGAAACAACUCAAACAAGGAUCUAGGCUUAGCUCAACUCGAGGACAUAGAAAUGGUAUAUACUUUGUUUUGUUAGUUCAUUAAGUGUUUAGGUCAACUUUUCUGGGGUUUUGUUUGUUUUUGACAAUUGCUUAGGGGAUUUGCUAUUCACUUGCCUUGUCGGUUGCUUUACUGUGUUUUGUUACUUUAAGAGUGGAGCUUGAAUUGGAAUGAAAAUCUUGACUAGAAAAUAUUCAUUUU